UACGGAGGGGGCUAGCGUUGUUCGGAAUUACUGGGCGUAAAGCGUGCGUAGGUGGUGGGUUAAGUCUGUCGUGAAAGCCCCGGGCUCAACCUGGGAAUGGCGAUGGAUACUGGCUCGCUAGAGUGCGGUAGAGGAGAGUGGAAUUCCCGGUGUAGCAGUGAAAUGCGUAGAGAUCGGGAGGAACAUCAGUUGCGAAGGCGGCUCUCUGGACCAGCACUGACACUGAGGCACGAAAGCGUGGGGAGCAAACAGG
rnacentral:rRNA from 1 species